CUCUUUGGGUUCAAAAUGAUCAAACGGAUGGUCACCAAAUUCUUGGGACAGGUAAGGAAGAUUUCGACUGUGAUUAUUCAGUUGUAUGAUGAGGCGUUGAUGCAGAGCCUCGACUCUCAGAGAGUUCGAGCUUGUCAGCAAGAACAUGUAUGCUUCCCUGCAGAGAUCAAAACGAAGUCAAGUCCUCCAAAAGGCCAUGGAAAUUAAGCUAGCUGCCUUCCUCGCGAGUUGUUGAUUUGGUCGGCUGGUCGGCUUCUUCUUCGUUGCCGGCGAGGUGGGCCAUGGAAUGGGGCGGCAGGUGCUGUUCAUCCAAAAGGUCCAAGCUUUGCUUUUUCAGACCUCUCCCGCCCAACGUUCGAUGGAGAUUUUCUCUACCUCGUCCGGCAUCCCGCCAGGAAUCCGGCGAUCGGGACUAGGGGAGAGGACAUCGGAAGGCGGAGGGGGCCGGCGGCCGGCGCCGUGAGUGCUGGAUGAGCGAACAGACGAGGGAGAGGCACAGUAGAACCAAACCAGGGGGCUGUUUGCAUAAGGCUAAUCGCGAUCCGAAUUAGGGGGUAUAUGCAUAUAUCGAUCCAAAGUAGGGGUUUAUUUACAUGUAUUCGGGUCGCGAUUAAUAAUAGUUGCGAUCCAAUUCCGGGAGGUUUUCGCAAAUGUUCUGGGGGCGGUGACAGAGCCCACGACGAGGCCGUGCGCUCGACGCCGGCGACCUCCGCUAGGCCACCGCGACGCAUCUCGCGCUCACCAGCGCCAAAUCCACACUCAUAGGCUUGGGAAAGCAAGGAAGGAUUCAGAGAUGGAGCGACAGAGAGGGAUGGGGAGGACAAGCAGGCAUCGCCGGCGGGGGUAGCAGCCAGGCCAACUGCGCACGGCGGCAGCUCGGAUCCUCCACUCUGAGGCGAGGAGCUCAAUCCGAAGACGCCGGAGGAGCGCCCCUGCCGGCUUGGUGGCCUCGCCGGCAAGCAUCGAUUUGAUGGCUCGCCGCUGCAGGCUGUCGGUUCCCAAUGUCAAUCUUCAGUUCUUCACAUUCAGGCUUCAGCUGCAUAGUUCAGGACAAAUAUCUGUGUCCCACUGCCGGCUGUAGAUUUCCCUUCACCAGCCAAUCUAUUUCAUAGAAAUGACCUAAAUGCAGUUCAGAGCUUCAGGUACCAUAAACACUCUGGUGACUGCUUGAUUUUUUUUUGGUUACUGUUUGCCAGAAUAAAUGGGAACUUGGAGGCAAUAUUGCAGUAGAAUUAUUUGUUUUGUUGUCAGAGAUACAUAGUUCGGAACAAACACCUGCUUCACAUCAGUUAGCCUUAGUUGCCAAGCACAUAUGUUCAAAGAUCCAUAUUUUCAUCCUGUAACAAGUAAAACAAAAAUAUUAUGCAAGAAACCCACUUAAUGCUUUUGAAUGCACGGUCAACUUAUCUUAAUACAGAGAACACGAAAAAACCUGAGUGAAGAACAAAGGAAACAAAGCCGAACAGAAAAUGAUAUAUGUACGCUGCACGAUAUCAUCUACAAUGCCACAUUUUAGAGAAACAAGAUAAAGUGCUAUAAGAUUGAUUCUCAUACAGAGUAGAAAUCUUGCUCUUCUGGCCCUGCUUUUUUCUGGUCACCUUACAAUCACACUCAAGAUUCUGGCAGCUAUAUAUAUAUGUACUUGUGAUAUGGAGGCAGGUGAAUGUCAUGCAAAAGUUAUUUUGGGAGCUUCUUCAUGCACAAGCGCUGUAUGGUCAUGGUUGUGAACUACGCAAUAUUGAGAGGAAUCAGCUACUCUAUGAAGAAAUAUAUGAUCAUCAUUCAUUGUUCAUCCUACAAUCACUUAGGCUUUUUCUGAAUCCAGGUUCAUUUUGUCACCUGUUGUCCUUGAAGCAUGCAAGAAUCCUGUUCCAGUUCUGCACAUUAACACUAGAUUUUAGACCCACUGCUGUUUUGUUUAAAUAUAUAAAGGGUCCAGAAAAUGCCUUAUAUACAUCUUGGUCAAAGUACUCAUAAAAUAUUUCUAUUUCUAUGGAUGCAAAACUCGGUUGCU